UAAAUGCUUGGGAAUCUAGCUUAUGGAGGGGGAUAACUACGGGAAACUGUAGCUAAUACCGCGUAGAAUCGAGAGAUGAAAGUGUGGGACCUUCGGGCCACAUGCCAUAGGAUGAGCCCAAGUGGGAUUAGGUAGUUGGUGAGGCAAAGGCUCACCAAGCCGACGAUCUCUAGCUGGUCUGAGAGGAUGACCAGCCACACUGGGACUGAGACACGGCCCAG
rnacentral:rRNA from 1 species